CAUCAAUCAACUUUCUACUACAGAUUUGAAAAUGCUACAUGUGAAAAAGAAUCAUGCCUCAUGUGAUGGAGGAGAAGAAGUGGGCUUUGGGCUGCUGUGUUGGGCAAGAGACUAUGAUUCAUCUUCCUGCAUGGAUUGCCUUGAGUCAUGCUGUCCUCAUCAUUAGAAUGGAAAGUGGAUGUGCUGCAGUCAAGAACCAGCUGAGGCAGACAUCCGGUCCGGCAUGACUCAGUGAAUUUGAAGUGCAGGUGCACAACUCUACUCAUUAUGUAACCACUCCACCUGAGGCACAUUAGGUAACCACUCAUGUGAGCUCGUGGCUGGCUCAGAGCUGGUGUUGUCUGUAAAAGGUAUAACUAUCUUACCGAUGCUGUACAUACGGCUUGCGCCUAUGGCUCACUCGCAACAAGGCUAGCUCACGCCCAGAGAGAAAGUCAAGCCAUGUUGAAACUGUCUACGAUUCCUCGAGUGUUUUUCCAGCUACCUGCCACUCACCCACUGACUUCCCUCAGACCUCAGUUAGAACCUGAAACCAUCAUAGGGAUAAAGAAACCAAGGUUCAGUAAGGCUGAGUCAUUUGAGCAAGUUCGCCUAGAUGGUAAGUUGCAGAUCUGGGAUUCAUAUCCAAGUUCUCUGAAUUCACAGUCUAAGCUCUUUUCCUUAUGCAAUGUUUUCUUCUAUCAGACAUGUGAAUAGCUUCAGCAGAAGAAAUAAUAUAGGACUGGCCACUUCAAAGUGUAGAAAUUCCAUAUGUCUAAAAUUUAGGGAAUGAUAGCACCUGAAAUGGUUCUUAAGAAGACCGAGUUCUAAGGAGAUGCAGUAAGAACAGUCCAUUGUUUUGCCAACAGGAAACACAUCAUGGUCAGUCUAUCUCACUUGUCCUUUAGUUGAAAAUAAUUUAAUGUAGUCCACAUGUUCAUGUCCUUCAGUGUCACAGUAGCAGUGAGGUGACAAAAUUGAUAUGUCCCAGGGGGUGAUAAAGAAUGGUUAAGAGAGAGGGUUUUUGAAAUCAGAUGUGAGUUCAAAUCCUGAGCCCACUAUUGAUUGGUUUAGUAAGCUACAUAAACUUGUUGCGGCUCAGGUUUCUUGAUCUGUAAAAUGUGGAUAAUAAGCAGAUCUUUCUCAGAACGUGGUUGUGAAAACUCGAAGAGUCAGUACAUGUAAAGUGCUUAGGACAGUACUCAGCAAAUAAUCACUAAAAAUACCAGUGAUUAUUUUUACUACUUCUCCUCCUAAAUCUGUGGAAGAAAAGUGACAAAUCUCGUGUCCCAAAGCAAUCUUCUUCUAAUAGUCAACCGCUAUUGCUAGAUACUAAAUGUCACUUCAUUUUCUAAACCUGUAGAAGUGUUCUAACUUGUAGAGCUUUGAAAUACUCUUCUUGGUUUGGUAGAGACACCGUUAUAAUGCUACAGAACAUUUGAAUUUUACUUUUGUAGGCAAGUUCCAGGUUAAUAUAAUUUUCUAUCAAUUGUAAAGUUUAGAAGUUGUGCCUAAGGCAUAUUUAUUGAAUAGCAAUACUUCUAAAGUUAAAGUGAAUUUUUGCUAUAUGAAAUCUUAAGGGACUGGAUAGAAAAUAUUUUAAGCAGAAAACAUUCUGUGAAAGUAUACAUUAGCGCAUAACUUUUGAAGAUGAAUGUUAUGUGAUGGUAGCAUUGAGUUUAAUUUUAGGCCUUUUGUGCUUGGACUAUGUGAUAAACUAUGCCUUGAAAUGGUAAUUGUCUUUUAAAAAUAUUAUGUCUUUAUAAAUUGAUGCCAAAAACAAAUCUUUCAUUAAGGGUACAAUCAGUGCUUUUUAGUUAUGCCAAUCUUGUCAUCUGGAAAACAUGCAGUAUUUAUACAGUUUUCAAAGAUACAUUUGAUUUAGUUAGGUGCCCAGAGACCUGCACAUGAAUUGUUAAUUUCAUAUUGCUCACAACAGCCAUCCCUUGAAUGUUUGCAGAGUUUAUAGGAGAUCAGUUACAAAUGUGAUUAUACCAGCCAUUCCUCAGGCCUGACACCAGUUUCAAAUUAAAAACUGACAGGCCUCACCUGCUCCUGGGUUCACCCACAGGUCACCUUCUUGUCACUUCAGCUCUCCCCCCCAUUAAAACGACAUCUGUGUUCAUAAAGGGACUGAGAAGGGCUGUGAGUUGUUAGAACUGUUGAGGAAUAAGAAUAAGGUGUUUUCUGCCCAGAUAAUGUAGUGUUCAACUUUGGCCUUUAAGGGGACAUGAGGCCAGCCAUAACUGCCUAUGUUUCCAGAUACAAGAAUAAGGCCCAGAGAGGUCACCUGCAGAUUCGAAUAGAACAUUCUAACCCAUGGAAUGGAACAAAUGUACCAUGUAAGGAAUAUGUGUUCAUGCUAGUUAGAGGGAAGAGGCAAAUAGGGAUAGAAUCUUUAAAAUAUUCUUCCCAGACUGCUAAGUAUUCUCUGGGUGUUUUACUCAUUUUACCUGAGAGAAAAAAAAUUAGUUUUUUCCUUAAGAAGUGUAAGAAUUGCAAUUAGAUCAAUACAAAUUUAAACUAAGUGAAAAACGUUUGAAAGAUCUAUAAACAGCAUUUGCCUAGAAUAAUUUGCCAUAUGUUAACCAUAAUGCUUGCAUAAAACUUUAUAAGGUGUCACCUGCUUUCCAAGAAAUAGAAAAUGCUCUGUAGAUGUUAUCUCAAUUAAGACCACCAGUUAAAGAAGGAAAAAAGAUACUUCUUAAAAGAGAAAACUAAAUGAUAAAACAUUUGAAAUAAUGUCUUAAUAUUUUAGUAUCUCUGAAACUUAGGAUAGUGCAAUGCACAGAGCAGAUAUUUAAUAAACAUGCAUUGAAGAUAAGAAAAGCAAAUCCACAUAAGAAAUGCCUGGUCAUUGAACAAGUUAAUACUGAUCUAAAAAGUUAAUACUGAUUAUGAAAGUAGAUUAUCCUACUAUAAUUUAAGUUCUUUGAUUUUUGAAAACAAGAAUUUGUUAAUCUUUUUUUGCAAAAACAUAUUAAUGCUUUUUAGCUACAUCUACUUCUAGGACAUGAAAACCCACAGUGAUUCCUUGUUGUGCCUGCAACAAGCCCUAUGGAUGAGCUAAGCUCUCUAGUACACUGUGCUUAGCUGAAAAGGAAGCAGGUGAUGAAGAGAUUGAGGCAUAAGAGGAACAUCAAUCUCCCCCACCCCCAUAGUUAGAAAAUCCAUUUUUUACACACUGAUUUAAUUAUAGACCAAAGCUUUAAUUGUAAGUCUAUCUUCAAUCAAUUUCUUCACCUACUUAUUGGUGGCCCGUCAUGAUGCAGGCUGCAGUACAUGGUGGCAUGGUAGUUAGGUGGCCUGCCUGAGGAUGAGCCUCACUUAUUUGUUUUACUAUCUGGGUGACUUUGGGCUACUUGUUCAACUAUUUUGUCUUAUUCUCCUUAUCUGUAAAAUGAGGACAAUGAUAAUGCCUAUAUCACCCAGUAGGAUUAAGUGAGUUAUACUAUGCAAAGCA
rnacentral:lncRNA from 10 species